rnacentral:lncRNA from 1 species
UAAGGAAAUCACCUUUCUGGUCUUAGUCUCCCCAUCUGAAAAUGGCAUAACCAACCUACCUGCCUCAAAUACAAGACCCUGCUUGUGAAGCGUCUCCUGGCUCAGACCAGUGCUAGAAGUGUCCAGUCUAGCAGCUCCUGGACCAAGACUCCGUGGCCAUUCCCUUCCUCCUGCCUUCCAUCCACCCCCUUACGGUCAGAGCUCCGAAGGCAGCGUGGUGACGGGUGCGGGGAGGGGAGUGGGGGGAUCUCUCUGAGAUACUUCUGCCUUGGGGUCACUGGAUCAUUCAUUCGACAAACAUCCGCGAGCAAGUCAGGAACUAGGAGUCAUCCUUGCCACCUCCCUCUCCCUCGCUGCCUAUAUUAAAAUACACCUCCAUUUCCUGUCGAUUCUCUUUCCUAAAUAUCUUUCCAGUCCACCAUUCCUUCCGUUUGCCCCACCACCUCCCGCCUGGGCUCCUAAUGCAGUAACCUUCUAUCUGGUUUUCUUUUCUUUUUUUUUUUUUUUUUGAGACGGAGUCUCGCUCUGUUGCCCAGGCCGGACUGCGGACUGCAAUGGCGCAAUCUCGGCUCACUGCAAGCUCCGCUUCCUGGGUUCACGCCAUUCUCCUGCCUCAGCCUCCCGAGUAGCUGGGACUACAGGCGCCCGCCACCGCACCCGGCUAAUUUUUUGUAUUUUUAGUAGAGACGGGGUUUCACCUUGUUAGCCAGGAUGGUCUCGAUCUCCUGACCUCGUGAUCCACCCGCCUCGGCCUCCCAAAGUGCUGGGAUUACAGGCGUGAGCCACCGCGCCCGGCCCUAUCUGGUUUUCUUGUACUCAUUCUGGCCCGGCUACACUCCAUUCCCUGCAUUACAAGUCAGCUGUCAUUUCAGAACACAAGUCUGGUGUGCCCCCCUCGACCCCCCCGCCACGCGGCGUUGCCUAAAUUCCUCCACUGUUAGAAUAAAAUCUGGACGCUGAUAUCUGAGCUAAGUCUUGAAGACAUGAGUUCAACAAGCAGAAAAGAGGGAGAAGGGCAUGUGCAGAGGGAGGGAAGUGUGAACAAAUCAUUGACACAUUCAGGUUUCCCUGUCAGGGGACCAGCACUCUGUACACUAAAGCACUGCCUCUUAACAUUAUUGGGAUCUCAAAACAACCCUGUGAGAUAAAUACAGCAUGCAAUUUUCCCACUAGUUUACAAGCAUGGAAACUAGUUUGUGGGAGGCAACAAAUGCAAUGGUUAAGAGCACAGGCAAUACAGUCAGACCCUCUUGGGUUGUAAACCUAUUGAUUCCUCUAGCCAGCUGGGUAAACACUUCUCUGAUCCUUGAUCUCUUACCUACUAAAGAGGAAUAAUUAAUCCCUCCCUCUUAUAAGAUAAUUUAUAUAAAAUGGUUAGUUACAGGACUUGGGCACUUUGGAAAUGCUCAGUAAUCGUUAGCUGUUUUGAUGGUAAUGGGUUCUGAGAAAGGGAGGGAACUGCUGUCUUCCACAAAUUUCUGAAAUUAUAGGAAGUAAGCCCUAAUUGUUAACACUUCCACAGAGCUUAUUAUGUGCCAGUCACUAUUAUAAGUGCUUUACAAAAAUUAACCCUUUUAAUCCUCUUGCUGUUUCCACUUUACAGAUACAGAAGUUGAGAUACAGAGAGGUGAAGGAACUUGUCCCAGGCCCUACAGCUAAUCAAAAAAAAAAAAAGAGAGAGAGAAAAUUCAUUACCAGUGGACGUUCUGUAAGCAGAAGAAAUAUGAUACCUGAGAGAAACUUGGAUCUACAUAAAGAAAUGAUGAUCUCUGGAAACAGAUAGAAUAAAGGUAAAUAUAAGAGACAUUGUUUCUCAUUUUUACUCACUUUAAAAGGUAACUGCUUUACUAAAGCAAUGCAUUGUGGCCUCAUAGCAUAUAUAAAAGUGAAAUGUAUGACAAUAACAACAGUAAAAAUGAGGAGAUGGAGGAAUGGGAAAUAUGCUGUUAAAGGGUCCUUAUGAUAUAUAAGAAGUGGUAUAACAUUAUUUGAAGAUAGACUGAUUAAAGAUAUAGUAAAUUCAAUAGCAACCACUAAAAAAAUUUUUUUAGAGAGGUGUAAGUAACAAGCCAAUAAUAGAAAAUGGAAUCAUAAAAAUGCUGGAAUAGGUAACUAUGUGAGAUGAUGGAUAUGUUCGUUUGCUUCACUAUAGUAAUCACUUUACUAUAUCUAUGUAUUCCAUAACAUCAUGUUGUAUACCUUAAACAUAUACAAUAAAAUUUAUUUUUUAAAAUGA